rnacentral:tRNA from 1 species
GCCUCCUUAGCUCAGCUGGUAGAGCGACUGACUUGUAAUCAGUAGGUCGCUGGUUCGAUCCCGGCAGGAGGCU